rnacentral:rRNA from 1 species
UACGUAGGGGGCAAGCGUUGUCCGGAUUUAUUGGGCGUAAAGCGCGUGUAGGCGGCCAGAUAGGUCUGCUGUGAAAACUCGAGGCUCAACCUCGAGCUGUCGGCGGAAACCAUCUGGCUAGAGUCCGGAAGAGGAGAGUGGAAUUCCUGGUGUAGCGGUGAAAUGCGCAGAUAUCAGGAAGAACACCUAUGGCGAAGGCAGCUCUCUGGGACGGUACCGACGCUGAGACGCGAAAGCGUGGGGAGCGAACAGG